GGUCCAGACUCCUACGGGAGGCAGCAGUAGGGAAUCUUCCGCAAUGGGCGAAAGCCUGACGGAGCAACGCCGCGUGAGUGAUGAAGGUCUUCGGAUCGUAAAACUCUGUUAUUAGGGAAGAACAUACGUGUAAGUAACUAUGCACGUCUUGACGGUACCUAAUCAGAAAGCCACGGCUAACUACGUGCCAGCAGCCGCGGUAAUACGUAGGUGGCAAGCGUUAUCCGGAAUUAUUGGGCGUAAAGCGCGCGUAGGCGGUUUUUUAAGGCUGAUGUGAAAGCCCACGGCUCAACCGUGGAGGGUCAUUGGAAACUGUAAAACUUGAGUGCAGAAGAGGAAAGUGGAAUUCCAUGUGUAGCGGUGAAAUGCGCAGAGAUAUGGAGGAACACCAGUGGCGAAGGCGACUUUCUGGUCUGUAACUGACGCUGAUGUGCGAAAGCGUGGGGAUCAAACAGGAUUAGAUACCCUGGUAGUCCACGCCGUAAACGAUGAGUGCUAAGUGUUAGGGGGUUUCCGCCCCUUAGUGCUGCAGCUAACGCAUUAAGCACUCCGCCUGGGGAGUACGACCGCAAGGUUGAAACUCAAAGGAAUUGACGGGGACCCG
rnacentral:rRNA from 1 species